UGCAAUCUCGGCUCACUGCAAGCUCUGCCUCCUGGGUUCAAGCGACUCUCCUGCUUCAGGAGAGUAGCUGGGAUUACAGGUGUGCAGCACCUUACCUGGCUAAUUUUUGCAUUUUUAGUAGAGACAGGGUUUCACCAUGUUGGCCAGGCUGGUCUCAAACUCCUGACCUCAGGUGAUCCGCCCGCCUCGGCCUCCCAAAGUGCUGGGAUUACAGGCGUGAGCCACCGCACCCGGCCCAACUAUUCAGGUAUUUCUAUAUUUUUCCUGUGUCCAUUGUGUAUUUUGAGGAAUUUGUCCAUUUCCUCAAAAUUGUCAGGUUCCCUGGUGUAAAGAUGUUCAUCAUGUUCUCUUCUUAUCGCUUUGAUAUUUGUUAGGGUCUGUGGUGAUGUUCCCUUUCGCUCCUGAUAUUGAUGGUUUGUGUUUUCUCUUUUUAUCCUCAUUGGUCUUGCUGGGGGUAAUGAAUUUUAUUAAAUUGUACAAGAAAGACUUUUAGUUUGUUGUUUUUCUCUGUUGAAUAUUGCAUUUCUAUUUCGUUGACUUCCACUUUUACCUUUUUUAUGUCUUUCUUCUACUCUCUUUGGGUUUAAUUUACUGUGUUCUUUUCCUAAUUCUUGAAAAGGAAGCUUAGAUGGUUGAUUUUCACACCCUCUUUUCUAAUAUCUGCGUUUAGAACUAGAAGCUUCCCACGAGGUGCUGCUCUGACAGCCCGCAGGCCUCAAACCUGAUGGGUCCAACAUGGAGCCUUUGGUGGUGCCCAUGAGGAUCAGUCACAAAAAUACCCAGGCUGAGGGGAGACAAGCAAAAUCCAGACCAGCAGCAGGGGUCUGAGGCCACCGGCAUGAGGUCCCGGUCUGCAUGGGGCUCUCCAAGUUUCAGCACUCAAAGUCCUGCGGCCUGAGAAGCCCCUCAGUACUGGGUACAGCAGCAUGGUGGUCACCCUACAUCUGUGCAAGUGUAGAAGUGUGUGUAUGUGUGAGUGUUAGGGUAUAGGUACACACGUGUGUACGUGUGUUAGGCUGUAGGUACACAGGUGUAUACGUGGGUGUUAGGUUGUAGGUACACAGGUGUACACGUGGGUGUUAGGUUGUAGGUACACAGGUGUAUACGUGGGUGUUAGGUUGUAGGUACACACAUGUGUACGUGUGUGUUAGGUUGUAGGUACACACGUGUGUACAUGUGUGUUGUAGGUACACAUGUGUGUAUUAGGUUGUAGGUACACAGGUGUGUAUGUGUGUUAGGUUGUAGGUACACAGGUGUAUACGUGGGUGUUAGGUUGUAGGUACACAGGUGUAUACGUGGGUGUUAGGUUGUAGGUACACACGUGUGUACGUGGGUGUUAGGUUAUAGGUACACGUGUGUAUGUGUGUGUGUUAGGUUGUAGGUACACACGUGUGUACGUGGGUGUUAGGCUGUAGGUACACACGUGUGUACGUGGGUGUUAGGCUGUAGGUACACAGGUGUGUACGUGGGUGUUAGGCUGUAGGUACACACGUGUGUACGUGGGUGUUAGGUUGUAGGUACACACGUGUGUACGUGGGUGUUAGGUUGUAGGUACACACGUGUGUAUGUGGGUGUUACGUUGUAGGUACGUGUGUGUGUACGUGGGUGUUAGGUUGUAGGUACACACGUGUGUAUGUGGGUGUUAGG
rnacentral:lncRNA from 1 species